GCGCCUGUGGCGAAAUUGGUAGACGCGCCAGACUUAGGAUCUGGUGUAGCGAUACGUGUAGGUUCGAGUCCUAUCAGGCGCA
rfam:Prevotella sp. CAG:891 genomic scaffold, scf366